rnacentral:rRNA from 1 species
AUUGAACGCUGGCGGCAGGCCUAACACAUGCAAGUCGAGCGAGCGGCGGACGGGUGAGUAAUGUCUGGGGAACUGCCCGAUGGAGGGGGAUAACUACUGGAAACGGUGGCUAAUACCGCAUACCAUCGGAUGUACCCAUAUGGGAUUAGCUAGUUGGUGGGGUAAAGGCUCACCUAGGCGACGAUCUCUAGCUGGUCUGAGAGGAUGACCAGCCACACUGGGACUGAGACACGGCCCAGACUCCGACGGGAGGCAGCAGUGGGGAAGAUUGCACAAUGGGCGCAAGCCUGAUGCAGCCAGGCCGCGUGUAUGAAGAAGGCCUUAGGGUUGUAAAGUACUGUAAGCGGGGAGGCGUUACCCGCAGAAGAAGCACCGGCUAACUCCGUGCCAGCAGCCGCGGUAAUUC